GCCACUGCUUCAGGACUGAUCCCAAGGGCAGCAAGCGCCCAGCAGCUCCUACUCCUUCAGUCUCUUCUCUAUGGCAAAGAAAUGUUUGUGGUUUAAAUCUCAGGAAUAUCUAGAGUCUUAUAUAGUCAGUGUAGACUGAAGGGGUGUUUGAGUUACAUGGAUAAAUCACCCUCUGGAGACCUGCGAAGCUAGGAAUAUGUCUCAGAGUGUUUGGCUAGCCCACCAGCUCUGGAGGGAGCAGGUUUGCUGACAUAAAAAUUGGAAGGAUCUUCAGAAAUGUGUACUCAAAUCACCAAAAAUGUCCAGUUCUCAAGGAUGCUGAUCAACUCAUUAUUCUUUGUUUUGAUUCACAUGAAAUAUUUUCAGCUUGUGGUUCAUUUCCAAAAAACAAAACCAAAAAAGCUUGAACAGAGCUGAGGCUAGAAUCUAAGUCCAAGUUAAUGAAGCUGCCUCAAAGUUGAGGAGGGAGAGAAUAAACCACAGCUCUGAGGCACAGACCACUGGAGAUUCCUCUUUCAAACCCUGCCUCUGCCGCUCACUGGAGUUAUUUGAUUUGGGAACAAGAUAAGAAUUCACAAUAUCUCAUUUGUAGAAAUAACCUGGAGGAAGGAGAAGCAGUCAAAAAUACUAAUUUCAGAUAUAAUUUUUGUCUCUCAGUUUCCUAAUACUCUUUCUCAGCAUUAAUAGCAUUAACCAAAUAUAAAGCUCAGACUUGGAGGAAGUUGUGCACCGACUAACAAAUGCAUCUCCAAAUAGCCCACAGUUCAGCACUUCUUAUUCUGUCAAUACUCUGUGACCAGGGAAGGUUUGGAGCAUAAUUCUCUCCUACUUAUUCAUCUUCUCACUUUCUUUUUAUUUUUUCUUCCCUGAUAAGAAAUACACCUGGCAAUUCAUUGCUGAUUUCCCAGGAGUGUUAUUCAUGCCACUUUAUUUAUGUAUUUAUUAUUCAAGUGCAAACUACUGAAGUUCCUUGUGGUAACCUGCAAAUCAGGUUUUAUGGGGCUGCCCAUCACACCAAGUGCUGUAGAGCCAAAUGCAGGCAUUGCAGUUGCUAUUACCCCACAGUGAGGGACUGUAAGCCUGCUUGAUGCUCAGGACUGCCCAGGCCUUGACUAUCUUUGGGAGAGAAAAGUAGUCAGCAACCUUAAAUUAAUCAAAGUCUCUGCUAUAAAUGCCCAGCUGUGGUAGUGGAAUAGCUUGUCCUCUUUCUUCAGUGUUGGUAAUGUAUCAUUGGCAGGCAAUGGGCGUGCAUUUAUGGCUGACUCUUUCACAUGCUUAGACUUCAGGCUUCAGAUUUGAAGUCAGAGUGGUCUGUGAGAAGGCAAGGCCACUGUGCCAUUUAUCCGUUAUCCUGCUUCCCUCCAGGGGUGGUGAUGCAGCCAGGUAUUUCAGUGCCUCUCUUGAUGCUGAGCCCCUGCAGCCAAGGGGGACCAGGAGGCAGUGUCUCUCAACACUGGACAACUCAAGGAAGGUUUGUGGGGUGGGUAUGUGUCCUGCAGGAAAUGGCUUGGGGGAAACCACGCUUCCCAAGCCAGACACAUGGUGGGUAUUGCCUAUGGUGACCAUAACCAUGCUCUUUCUCUGAAACAUAAGACAUCCUUCCCCCUUCAGAGGUUCGGAUGUAUGUGCCGCCUGUUGUCACACACUCAGAAUUUGGGCCUCAAGUUUUAUGUUGAUUAUAGUUAGUUAUUAAGAUUGCAUUUUAAUAAUUUUCCUUGGCAUCUUGUUCUGCAUGCCUUCACAAGGAUUUAAUUGUCUUCAACAGGCCAUUUGAUACAACUGUGUUUUAGCUUGUUAGUGUAAUAAUUUAUUGUGUUAAAGUGUCAGAACUGCAACUUGGAGAAACCUACAAUAAGGCUGAUAAGAAAGGGACAAAGUCAACUUGGAAUGCGGUCAAUUGCAAAAUAAAAUUGUCUCAAUUAUA